UACGGAGGGUGCAAGCGUUAUCCGGAAUCACUGGGUUUAAAGGGUGCGUAGGCGGUCAGAUAAGUCAGUUGUGAAAUACCCCGGCUUAACCGGCGGAACUGCGAUUGAUACUGUUUGACUUGAAUCAGGUUGAGGUAGACGGAAUGUGGCAUGUAGCGGUGAAAUGCUUAGAUAUGCCAUAGAACACCGAUUGCGAAGGCAGCUUGCUGGACCUGUAUUGACGCUGAGGCACGAAAGCGUGGGGAGCAAACAGG
rnacentral:rRNA from 1 species